GGAAUAUUGGGCAAUGGGGGAAACCCUGACCCAGCGACGCCGCGUGAGGGAAGAAGGUCUUCGGAUUGUAAACCUCUGUCUUCGGGGACGAUAGUGACUGUACCCGAGGAGGAAGCCACGGCUAACUACGUGCCAGCAGCCGCGGUAAAACGUAGGUGGCAAGCGUUGUCCGGAUUUACUGGGUGUAAAGGGAGCGCAGGCGGAUUGACCAGUCGAAUGUGAAAUGCAGAGGCUCAACCUCUGAACUGCGUUCGAUACUGUUGAUCUUGAGUGGAGUAGGGGCAGGCGGAAUUCCCGGUGUAGCGGUGGAAUGCGUAGAUAUCGGGAGGAAUACCAGUAGCGAAGGCGGCCUGCUGGGCUCUAACUGACGCUGAGGCUCGAAAGCGUGGGGAGCAAACA
rnacentral:rRNA from 1 species